rnacentral:lncRNA from 1 species
GGGUCAUUUUGACAGAAGAUUGAGUGGGUUUUCCGUAUGGUGGGAAUAUGUUUAGUAGGAUAGCCCGGGGCUUAUACAUUGCUUCGCUUCGCUCGCUUCACUCGUCCAGGCAAGAGCAUCUAGGCGGGGAUGCAAGCAAGUACGAGCCCGGUACCCCUAUCCCGCCCGUAGCAUAGCGCCAAGAAAGAGGAAGAUUGGCUGAUUUUGAUUCAAUAAUCGGAGAUAAAAAAAAGGUAACGAGCUAAGCAAGCAAGCGCAACGAGCAAUCAAACUCCCAUCCCACGAACAAGCAAGGGAUUGAGUACCGAUUUCGUGAUGCACCUAUCCAACGAAUUUU